UACGAAGGGGGCUAGCGUUGCUCGGAAUCACUGGGCGUAAAGCGCACGUAGGCGGAUUGUUAAGUCAGGGGUGAAAUCCUGGAGCUCAACUCCAGAACUGCCUUUGAUACUGGCGAUCUCGAGUCCGGGAGAGGUGAGUGGAACUGCGAGUGUAGAGGUGAAAUUCGUAGAUAUUCGCAGGAACACCAGUGGCGAAGGCGGCUCACUGGCCCGGUACUGACGCUGAGGUGCGAAA
rnacentral:rRNA from 1 species